GCUUUGUGAACACAUCAGAAGAGGAGACAGAGCAGCUCACGUUUACAGUAUUUCUUUCAUUUCAAAGAUAUUUCGAGAAUUUGGACUGAAAACUAGACAUGAGUCGGAACCACAUGUGAAAGUCUAUUCACCCUCCUUGUGUCGAGGUGGCAGCAGAAAUCUCUUCAUCUCUGAAGCAGAAUAAAAGGGGAGGACUUCAGGGAUCAGGAGAUGUCUGUUGUAUCACUGCUUCAGUGACUUCAGCCCAACAGUAACUGAAGAGUGACCAUCACAUGUCAAACGUCCCUCUCUCAUGUUUCCUGAAG